GAGGGUAGAGCUCAGUGGUAGAGCAUGUGCUUACAUGCUCAAAGUCCUGGGUUCAAUCCCCAGUACCUCCA
rnacentral:tRNA from 1 species